rnacentral:misc_RNA from 1 species
AACGCACCUUGCGCUCCUUGGUAUUCCGAGGAGCAUGCCUGUUUGAGUGUCAUUAAUAUAUCAACCCUCUUCAGCCUUUGGCAUGUUGAGUGUUGGAUGUGGGGGAUAAUCUUUUUUUUUGCUGGACUCUCUCUUGAGGUCAGCUCCCCUAAAAUACAUUAGCAAAACAAUUUGUUUACUGCUCAUUGGUGUGAUAACUAUCUACGCUGUUGACGGUAAAUCACGGUUUCGCUUCUAACAGUCCAUUGACUUGGACAAUUUUUUAUCAAUGUGACCUCAAAUCAGGUAGGAUUACCCGCUGAACUUAA